UACGGGGGGAGCAAGCGUUGUUCGGAUUUACCGGGCGUAAAGGGCGCGUAGGCGGUCGUGACAAGUCACUUGUGAAAUCUCCGGGCUUAACUCGGAACGGUCAAGUGAUACUGUCGGACUAGAGUACAGAAGGGGCAACUGGAAUUCUCGGUGUAGCGGUGAAAUGCGUAGAUAUCGAGAGGAACACCUGCGGCGAAGGCGGGUUGCUGGGCUGAUACUGACGCUGAGGCGCGAAAGCCAGGGGAGCGAACGGG
rnacentral:rRNA from 1 species